UACGGGGGGAGCAAGCGUUGUUCGGAUUUACUGGGCGUAAAGGGCGCGUAGGCGGCCACCGCAAGUCGGUUGUGAAAUCUCUGGGCUUAACCCAGAAAGGUCAACCGAUACUGCGGGGCUAGAGUGCAGAAGGGGCAACUGGAAUUCUCGGUGUAGCGGUGAAAUGCGCAGAUAUUGGGAAGAACACCCGUGGCGAAGGCGGCUCUCUGGAACGCAACUGACGCUGAGACGCGAAAGCGUGGGGAGCAAACAGG
rnacentral:rRNA from 1 species